rnacentral:rRNA from 1 species
CGAAAGCCUGACGGAGCAAUACCGCGUGAGGGAGGAAGGCUUUUGGGUUGUAAACCUCUUUUUUCAAGGAAGAAGCAAGUGACGGUACUUGAAGAAUCAGCAUCGGCUAACUCCGUGCCAGCCGCCGCGGUAAUACGGAGGAUGCAAGCGUUAUCCGGAAUCAUUGGGCGUAAAGCGUCCGCAGGUGGCUGUUCAAGUCUGCUGUUAAAGACAGAAGCUCAACUUCUGAAAGGCGGUGGAAACUGGAGAACUAGAGUACGGUAGGGGUUGAGGGAAUUCCCAGUGUAGCGGUGAAAUGCGUAGAUAUUGGGAAGAACACCAGUGGCGAAGGCGCUCUACUGGACCUGUACUGACACUGAGGGACGAAAGCUAGGGUAGCG